CUGGCAGAGGAGAUACCAUGAUCACAAAGGUGGUUUUCCCAGGGCGAGGCUUAUCCAUUGCACUCAGGAUGUGCUGACCCCUGCAAUUUCCCCAAAUGUGGGAAACGCGACUGCAUAAUUUGUGGUAGUGGGGGACUGCGUUCGUGCUUUCCCCUG
rnacentral:snRNA from 1 species